CGAGGAGCCGGUCGGGGAAGGAGACGCGGCUGUGAGGUGGAGGCGCCAUGAGCGGGGUUGCGCUGGGCAUGGCGGGAGCGCAGAGGAGGUGCCUACCCCUCAGCAGGGGCGAGUCUCGGGACAGGAGUAGGAUCUGGUGCUGCGAGCUCCUCUUGCACGUGAAACCCAAGGAGCGGCUCGUGGGAACCUCUCAUCCGUAGCCGUUCGCUCCACGCCCAGUAUGGGCCUUGAACUCCCCACCUGAGGUCAAGAGCCACAGGCUGCACCCACUGAGCUCACCAGGCGCCCCGGCCGCGCACACUUUGCAUGGGCAGUUGGAGGGAAUGUGAAGAGGAUCUCAGCAAAACCGCGACCAGAACAUUUUUUUCCCUGGGAUUGAACAGAAACGACC